CCAAACCAGCAGAGAGGAGCUAUCCUCUCUGCUGAGAGCUUCAGAGACCUGGAAAGACAUCCAAAUGACUGCCUGCAGAGAGGAGCCACCCUCUCCAGGGCCUCUUCUCUGCUAAGAGCCGAACACUUGACUGGACAACUUGCCUACAGAGAGGAGGUACCCACUCCUCUGAGCUGUUCUAACACUAUAUAAAACUCCUUUUCUUCUUUACCCUUCACCUGUCUGAGUAUCACCUCGUUCUUCCUGGACACAGGACAAGAACUUGGGCAAAGAUGCCACAGCCACAGAGGUUUCCUGCCAGAAAAAUCAACACCCCAGAGAUCCUGUAACAUUAAUGUAUCUUCAAAGGCAGCAGCUGUAAAAUCUGAAGGAAAGAAAACCACUUCCUGGGAAUGUUGUACUAAGGACUGAUAGAAACAAGCUGGAAAGCCUUGCUUCUCAAAUGUCACCAUGCAUGUGAGUCAACGGGGAUCUUGUUAAAAUGCAGAUUCUGACUCAACAGGUCUUAGGUGAAGCCUGAGAUCCGGCAUUUCUAAUGAGCUCCCAGGUGAUGUCGAUGCUGCUGUCGGUGAAUCUCAAUUUUAGCAACAAAGAAUGUGGAAGAUCGUAGCAGGAACUUGGUUCAUACGAGGUACUCAACAGGCAGUGUCUUUGGUUAUCACUAUUACCAUGGUCAUCAGGCAACAUCGGUGAGACUGUCUCUUUCCUGACCACAGCCCAUAUCCUCCUUCAAAACUGUGUCAUUUGAGGUUUCCCUUAAAGCCACCAGAACACAAAUAUUGGAGAGGCCCAAAGUGGAGGCCAUCACAGAUGACCCAGUGGCCAAACUGUCCAUUGGACAUCUCUAGAAGCAGACACUGUUCUCGCUGACCCAGGGUCCAGUGGGCCCAGUUGUUUGGGCUUUCAUGUGGGAAGCUGGGAUGGCAGUGGUGUUGCCCAGCCACUUCUCCGCUUCAUCAGUCACAGCUGCCUGAAGGUACAACAGAGGUCACUAGAGUCCCCUAUCCCUCAUCCUAAAAGAAGCCACUUGC
rnacentral:lncRNA from 13 species